ACCGGGCUCAAGUCUUGACAACGUUCCUUCCGGUCAGCCUGUCCCCUUGCCACAGUCCAUGAAGUGACACCAUUCUUAAGGCUUCUCAAAAGCACCGUUAUUUCAGUUAAUUCCAGCAAGCUGGACUACACUUAACAUAUAACCUUUGGUGGAGUGGAGACGACUUGUCUGUCCUGUCCAAGCUUAAAUACCAAGGGAAUGACUUUAAAUCUUGCUGGAUGGAACUGCCACUCACCGCUAGAAAUCGGGGAUCAACAGCGAACUCUGGAUGACCCUGUAACCACAUCU